rnacentral:tRNA from 1 species
GUGCUUGUAGCUCAAUUGGAUAGAGCACCAGCCUCCGGAGCUGGUGAUUCCGGUUCAAGUCCGGACAGGCACA